UACAGAGGGUGCGAGCGUUAAUCGGAAUUACUGGGCGUAAAGCGUGCGUAGACGGUUACGUAAGUUAGGUGUGAAAGCCCCGGGCUCAACCUGGGAAUUGCAUUUAAGACUGCGUAGCUAGGGUGCGGAAGAGGCGAGUGGAAUUCCCGGUGUAGCGGUGAAAUGCGCAGAUAUCGGGAGGAACACCAAUGGCGAAGGCAGCUCGCUGGGACGGUACUGACGCUGAGACGCGAAAGCGUGGGGAGCAAACAGG
rnacentral:rRNA from 1 species